rnacentral:rRNA from 1 species
AUUGAACGCUGGCGGCAGGCCUAACACAUGCAAGUCGAACGUGAAAGCUCCUUCGGGAGCGAGUAAAGUGGCGAACGGGUGAGUAACGCGUAGAAAUCUGCCCAAGAGUGGGGGACAACCCGGAGAAAUCCGGGCUAAUACCGCAUACACCUUACGGGGCAAAGUGGGGGACCCUUCGGGGCCUCACGCUUUUGGAUGAGUCUGCGUCGGAUUAGCUUGUUGGUAGGGUAAUUGCCUACCAAGGCGACGAUCCGUAGCUGGUCUGAGAGGAUGGCCAGCCACACUGGGACUGAGACACGGCCCAGACUCCUACGGGAGGCAGCAGUGGGGAAUAUUGGACAAUGGGGGCAACCCUGAUCCAGCCAUGCCGCGUGUGUGAAGAAGGCCUUCGGGUUGUAAAGCACUUUCAGUAGGGAAGAAAGGCCUAAGGUUAAUAACCUUGGGUCUUGACGGUACCUACACAAGAAGCACCGGCUAAUUCCGUG